rnacentral:lncRNA from 10 species
GAAAUUAAUAUACCUAACUGAGUUAGAAACCAGGGUAGUACGCCUAGCAAUGAGUACUUAAACAAAUCCUCCUGGGGAUUCUGCUGUACACUCAAGCUUCGGAUACACUGGUCUAGAGUAAUUGAAUUGUGGCUGGCUGAAGACAUGGGUAUUUUUUCCCCAGGACAGCAGAAGCCUCCCCUGCACCUGCAAAUAGACCAGUGCAGGCAUUGAACAUCUGGGGCAAGACUAGCGUCUCCCAGCAGCCCCAGGCUUUAAAUCUGAUUCUCCUCCUUCAAUUACUGCUUAUCUUCAGAAAAGCCAUGCACCUCACGAACGUCACCUGUCAGUGGCCACCCUACCUUCAUCUUGCUGGUGGGUGAGGAUGAGAGAGUUCAGAACGUAUGACCUGAAACUGGUCCCGAGGAAACAUCAGAUGGACCACGUUGAGCAUCACACUGCAGAAUGUAGGGCUGCAUUCUUCCAAACUGUUGGGACGAUGAAAGUCAGGGAAAGACUGAGGAAAUGCUCCAAACUGGGGCAGACUGCAAAGAUGUGACAAUUAAAUGCAAUGUGUAACUCGG